rnacentral:SRP_RNA from 1 species
GCCGGGCGUGGUGGCACACGCCUGUAAUCCCAGCUGCUCGGGAGGCUGAGGCAGGAGAAUCGCUUGAACCCAGGAGGUAGAGGUUGCAGUGAGCCAAGAUCAGCGCCACUGCACUCCAGCCUGGGUGACAGAGCGAGACUCUGUCUCAG